rnacentral:rRNA from 1 species
CCCUUAGAUGUUCUGGGCCGCACGCGCGCUACACUGAUACAAUCAACAAGUGCCUUUUGCCGACGGGUGAAGAGGACUCUUGUGAGUUUGUAUCGUGAUGGGAACAAACGAUUGCAAUUAUUCGUUUCGAACGAGGAAUCCCUAGUAAGCGCGAGUCAUCAGCUUGUGCUGAUUACGUCCCUGCCCUUUGUACACACCGCCCGUCGCUCCUACCGAUUGGAUGAUCCGGUGAGCUGGCCGGACAGGCGGACUGCAUCUGAUGCUCUUCGCUUGGAAGGCUCGCAAACCUUAUCAUUUAGAGGAAGGAGAAGUCGUAACA